rnacentral:misc_RNA from 1 species
AAGUCGUAACAAGGUAACCGUAGGUGAACCUGCGGUUGGAUCAUUAUUGAAUCAACUUAUAAGUUUGGUCAAAAAGGUUUUAGGAAGAAGGGGAGGAAAAGGUGCAAAUCUCUCCUCCCCCCUUACUUUACUUCUUUGUUCCAAAUCUUACACCCAAACCUUGUGAAUAAUACUAAAAUUGGUAUUUGGAGUUACUUGUUGCUUUAGUUUGUCAUGAACGAAAAAGCAAAGCUGAGGACUCCUACUUAUGAUUAUAAACAUUUAUUUUUAUACAAAUUCUCUUAUUAUACGAAGCCUUAACUCUUUAAGUAGAGUAGUAGAUUUUCGUUAAAGUUUUUAAUAUUAAAAAAACUUUUGACAAUGGAUCUCUUGGCUCUC